AUGAACACUUCUCCAGGUUUAGUGGUUGUGGUACUCUUAAUGCUUGGAGGAACCAGUGGAGAUUCAGUGGACCAGACUGAAGGCCAAGUAACCCUUUCAGAGAGGACUUCCCUGACUAUGAACUGCACUUACACAGCCUCCGGGUAUCCAACUCUUUACUGGUAUGUCCAGUAUCCCAACGAAGGUCUCCAGCUCCUCCUGAAAGCUGCCAAGGCCAAUGAGAAAGGAAACGGCAAAGGUUUUGAAGCCAUUUACAAUAAAGAAGCAUCUUCCUUCCACUUGACGAAAGCCUCAGUGCGAGAGUCAGACUCGGCUGUGUACUACUGUGCUCAGAGUGACACAGUGACUGGAACUGCAGGGGGAGCUGUGCGCAAACUAGGAGCAGCACGAGAGAGACCUAGCUGCUCAGUGUCCAACUUUGUGAUUUACUCUAGCCUGAAGACUCUGUUGUGUUUGGUCCUCAGGCACUGUGGCUGA